CGGUGUCAUCACGUUGCGCACGCAGUGGCAUACGUUUCCUUGUAACUGGCUAUAUAAUACAAUGUUCGCCGAGUUGGAAGAAGUAAGAAUAUUUGACAUCCAAAGUUGAAACUGUAAAAACUCAUAAGUCUCAAAAUGAUGAUGAAAAUUGUGAUAUCUGUUGCUGUAGUGUUUGCCUGUAUGUUUGCUCUGGGAGACGCCCAUUGCCACAAGUGCGGAGGAGGUUGUGGUAGCAGUUCCAAGAAAAUCGUCGAGGUGGACGACCACGCCUUUUUCCAGACGCUGCUCGCACUCACUGCUGCCGCCGGUGGCGGCGGCGGUGGAGGAGGAUUUGGGGGUCCAGGAUUCGGAAAAAAAUAGAGCAAUGACGUAAUGUCUGCUCAAAAAUGGUGAAUUCGACAACUAUGGACCUCCGAAGAUACACACCAUGAACACACAGGUGUCGAAGAUUAUCGUUAGCAUUGUUAUUGUAAUCAGGUUUCCAGCAUGUUAUAUUAACACAUAAAUACUGUGUUGAUUUCA